UCAUCCUUUGAUUAGAGAAUAGUUUCAAACAAUUAGAUGCGGUCACUGUGAAAGACAACUGUGAAGUUAAGCACUUUGUAACUGCGACAAACUGCACCAGGCUAGCAAAUGUAUUACACAAACAAACAAAAAACUGUUAGCUAGUUUUAAAGUGAUGCUGUGGUUUAGGUAGCUUGUUUAGCUAGCAGCAGUGGAGACAGGAGAACCAUCGUACUGUGGGACAAUGUGACAUGGAUAUAUGGAUACGGACCUUUAAUUACACCUUCAGUCUCAAAUAACCUCUACAUGUGACCCUCAACUCUAACGUGGCGUUCUCUCAAGAUCAUCCUGCAUCACCUGAGACGCAUCAUGCCAGAUAUCGUCCUCUAAAUCUUGGACACUUGAACAGGAUGGAAUUCAAAAGUAUAUAUGGGAAGAAAAUCUUCAAUCUCCAGGUUAAAGAGGAUGUGGGGGGGGGGGGGGUUCCCUUACCAUAGAUGGGAGGUCACAACAUCUGUCCCUGCUGGUCCAGCCCAAGCUGCAGACAAUAUCGAACAUCUGGAGCUGGAACUGUGGAGAGGAAACCAAAAAGAAAAGAAAACAUGGAAAUGGUGUUGUGGUACAUGUGUCUCUGAUACACCCUGCACAGCUCCCAGAAGACAAAUACAACAGCAGAGAACGCAGCACAGCCAAGUCCCAUCAGCUCCGGGGGAAGACAGGAACCAUGUCAUCCUGCAACCACGUUAACGUACACACCGCUCGGAUCAGGGCUGACUUACAGUUGCUGAUUCUCCUUUGGAGCCGAUGGACUUGGACAUCUUGCCCAGGACCUGGUAACCAUCCCUGGAUGUGUUUCCAGCUUCCUUGAUCUCCUUUUCAGCCACUUCUUGGCAGUCGAUGUUGAGUUUGACGCCGGUGGAUGAGACCAGGAUAUGGAGCUUCAGAGAGAAAGGGGGAAAAGAAGAAGAAGAAGAAGAAGAAGAAGAGGAGAAUAGAUUUUAUUGGCACAUUCUCUGUUAUACGAUCAAGUCCUGUGUCUGGUUUCUAUCCUGAUGGCUUGCACAUUAUUAGGUUAUGCUGCCGGUGGAGCGCGAGCUCAGGGUGGACGUGACUCUCUUCUCUCCGCUGUAGCUCUGUUUAUUCAAAACGCUGCAGGAAUGUAAGAGAGCGCUGCGUUCUGCUCAUUCAGAAGAAAAACGUGCUCCAUCAGAGCUGGAUUGUAAAGAAGCUCACAUGGUGCGUUGGCUUUGGCCUCCUUCCUGUUGAGGUGAACGUUAAGGGAUAUUAAAAAGUCACAAUAAAAGUAAUGAAUCAUCA